rnacentral:rRNA from 1 species
GAUGAACGCUGGCGGCGUGCCUAAUACAUGCAAGUCGAGCGAACAGACGAGGGGCUUGCUCCUCUGACGUUAGCGGCGGACGGGUGAGUAACACGUGGAUAACCUACCUAUAAGACUGGGAUAACUUCGGGAAACCGGAGCUAAUACCGGAUAAUAUAUUGAACCGCAUGGUUCAAUAGUGAAAGACGGUUUUGCUGUCACUUAUAGAUGGAUCCGCGCCGCAUUAGCUAGUUGGUAAGGUAACGGCUUACCAAGGCAACGAUGCGUAGCCGACCUGAGAGGGUGAUCGGCCACACUGGAACUGAGACACGGUCCAGACUCCUACGGGAGGCAGCAGUAGGGAAUCUUCCGCAAUGGGCGAAAGCCUGACGGGGCAACGCCGCGUGAGUGAUGAAGGUCUUCGGAUCGUAAAACUCUGUUAUUAGGGAAGAACAAAUGUGUAAGUAACUAUGCACGUCUUGACGGUACCUAAUCAGAAAGCCACGGCUAACUACGUG